CCCAAUGGGUGACUGAUAUGAGAGACAAGUUGUGUUUGGUCUGUCGAUCUCAUUGACAAG
rnacentral:sRNA from 1 species